CCAGAAGGAACGGAAUCACCACCCUCUUGAUGAUUCCGCGCUCUGUAAAAGCAGAUCAUGACAGGGUGGCCAACAAGAAUGUAAAUGAGGGAAAACUUCCUGUGACACACCUCGUCACUACGACAAUUUUUCUACGAGUCUUCAAGGAGAAUGGGUCUGGCAUUACUGAUUCGACGUCGACAGCAACCGAGUUGUCUUAUAAUCACAACAUUGACACUGCUGUCGGUUUCAACACUGACGACAUGCACUUUAGAAUAUACGACACAAGACGUUUCACACAACAAACACAGGACUGACCGUACUGCUAACAACAGCCAGGAGGCUGCUGUUACGAAUUACGAGUUUGAGGCCAAAGACACUUCUAUGUCCAGAAAUGUCACUGAUUAUUCUGUUGACAUAUCGA